AAGAAGUAAGAAGUUGGGGCUGCUAACCGCGACUUGGGAGUAAUUCCGUUUCUUU
rnacentral:tRNA from 1 species